GACAGAGGUGCCAAGCGUUAGGCGGAAUCACUGGGCUUAAAGCGUGUGUAGGCGGGCGAUCAAGUACCUUGUGAAAUCCCACGGCUCAACCGUGGAACUGCUGGGUAUACUGGUUGUCUUGAGCCAGCUAGGGGCGAGCGGAACAGACGGUGGAGCGGUGAAAUGCUUAGAGAUCGUCCAGAACACCGAUAGCGAAGGCAGCUUACUAAGGAGUAACUGACGCUGAGGCACGAAAGUGUGGGGAUCAAACAGG
rnacentral:rRNA from 1 species